rnacentral:rRNA from 1 species
AGAAUCAACGCUGGCGGCGUGCCUAACACAUGCAAGUCGAACGAGAAAGGGUAGCAAUACCUGAGUAAAGUGGCGCACGGGUGAGUAACACGUGACUAACCUACCCUGGAGUGGGGGAUAACUGAGGGAAACCUUAGCUAAUACCGCAUAAUACCUACGGGUCAAAGGAGCAAUUCGCUUCAGGAGGGGUCGCGGCCGAUUAGUUAGUUGGCGGGGUAAUGGCCCACCAAGACAGUGAUCGGUA